rnacentral:rRNA from 1 species
GACGAACGCUGGCGGCGUGCCUAAUACAUGCAAGUAGAACGCUGAAGGAGGAGCUUGCUCUUCUGGAUGAGUUGCGAACGGGUGAGUAACGCGUAGGUAACCUGCCUGGUAGCGGGGGAUAACUAUUGGAAACGAUAGCUAAUACCGCAUAACAGUAGAUGUUGCAUGACAUUUGCUUAAAAGGUGCAAUUGCAUCACUACCAGAUGGACCUGCGUUGUAUUAGCUAGUUGGUGGGGUAACGGCUCACCAAGGCGACGAUACAUAGCCGACCUGAGAGGGUGAUCGGCCACACUGGGACUGAGACACGGCCCAGACUCCUACGGGAGGCAGCAGUAGGGAAUCUUCGGCAAUGGACGGAAGUCUGAACGAGCAACGCCGCGUGAGUGAAGAAGGUUUUCGGAUCGUAAAGCUCUGUUGUAAGAGAAGAACGAGUGUGAGAGUGGAAAGUUCACACUGUGACGGUAUCUUACCAGAAAGGGACGGCUAACUACGUG